AUAUUCAAAAUAUAUAAAUAUCUCUAACAAUUAUAUAAAUAAUCUAAUUAAAUGGGCAAAUGAACAGACAAUUCUCAAGAGAAGUGCAAAUGAUCAACAAUAGAUGAAAAAAAGUUCAACUUAAGCCUUAAAAGAAUGCAAAUCACAGGGCACCAGUGGCUCACCCCUCUAUUCCUAGCUAUUCAGGAGGUUGAG